CGGCCCUUAACUCAGUGGUAGAGUGUAUGAUUCCAGAAAAGGAAAUUCCUGUUCCGACUCCAUAAAGUCGUCCGUUCAAUCCGGGCAGGGCUCA